rnacentral:rRNA from 1 species
CAGUGGGAGCCCCACCACUAAGCCAGUGGUGAACUCCACAUACGCAUCCUUUGCUGAGGAUACGGUUAACGGAGCGAAAGCGACGUUCAACCGCAAAAGAAGCAGAGGGGGCUUAGUGGUGGGGUGACUGCGUACCUUUUGUAUAAUGGGUCAGCGACUUAUAUUCUGUAGCAAGGUUAACCGAAUAGGGGAGCCGGAGGGAAACCGAGUCUUAAUUGGGCGUUAAGUUGCAGGGUAUAGACCCGAAACCCGGUGAUCUAGCCAUGGGCAGGUUGAAGGUUGGGUAACACUAACUGGAGGACCGAACCGACUAAUGUUGAAAAAUUAGCGGAUGACCUGUGGCUGGGGGUGAAAGGCCAAUCAAACCGGGAGAUAGCUGGUUCUCCCCGAAAGCUAUUUAGGUAGCGCCUCGUGAAUUCAUCUCCGGGGGUAGAGCACUGUUUCGGCUAGGGGGCCAUCCCGGCUUACCAACCCGAUGCAAACUGCGAAUACCGGAGAAUGUUAUCACGGGAGACACACGGCGGGUGCUAACGUCCGUCGUGAAGAGGGAAACAACCCAGACCGCCAGCUAAGGUCCCAAAGUCAUGGUUAAGUGGGAAACGAUGUGGGAAGGCCCAGACAGCCAGGAUGUUGGCUUAGAAGCAGCCAUCAUUUAAAGAAAGCGUAAUAGCUCACUGGUCGAGUCGGCCUGCGCGGAAGAUGUAACGGGGCUAAACCAUGCACCGAAGCUGCGGCAGCGACACUCAGGUGUUGUUGGGUAGGGGAGCGUUCUGUAAGCCUGCGAAGGUGGCCUGUGAGGGUUGCUGGAGGUAUCAGAAGUGCGAAUGCUGACAUAAGUAACGAUAAAGCGGGUGAAAAGCCCGCUCGCCGGAAGACCAAGGGUUCCUGUCCAACGUUAAUCGGGGCAGGGUGAGUCGACCCCUAAGGCGAGGCCGAAAGGCGUAGUCGAUGGGAAACGGGUUAAUAUUCCCGUACUUGGUGUUACUGCGAAGGGGGGAC